ensembl:lncRNA
AUGAGGGGAAAUCCAUGGGGAAAUUCAUGGGGAAAAUCAGGGGAAUCAUGGGGAAAAUUCAGGGAGAAAAUACGGGAAAAAUCGGGGGGGAAAUCAGGGGAUAAAUGGGGGAAAAACAGGGAAAAAUCGGGGAAAAAUCCAUGGGAAAAAUCAGGGGGAAACCACAUGGAACACAUGGGAAAAACAGAGAGAAAUCCAUGGGAAAAUCGGGGAAAAUCAGGGAGAAAUCCAUGGGAAAAUCGGGGAAAAUCAGAUAAAAACCAUGGAGAAUCCAUGGGGAAAAAAAGAUGGGAAAUCCAUGGGGAAAUCAGGGAGAAAAUCAGGGAGAAACCAUGGGAAAUGCCUGGGAAUUUGGGAAUUGUUGGGAAUGUUGGGAAUUUGGGAAUUUUUGGGAAUUUAGGAAUCUUUGGAAUGUCAGGAAUAUUGGGAAUUUGGGAAUUGUUGGAAUGUUGGGAAUGUCGGCACCUUCUCCCUCAUGUUCUCGGCGCCGCCCUGAGCCCGCACGGCCCCGGAGCGAGAAUCGAACACGAACCCCGAGGGAUCUGCGGGAAACGGAAACCGGGGACUCACAGAAAUCCCAAAUUCCCAAAUCCCAAUCCCAAAUUCCCCAAAUUCCCCAAAAUCCCAAUCCCAAAUUCCCCCAAAUCCCAGAAAUCCCAAUCCCAAAUUCCCCAAAAUCCCAGAAAUCCCAAAUUCCCCAAAAUCCCAGAAAACCCAAUCCUAAAUUCCCCAAAAUCCCAAUCCCAAAUUCCCCAAAUCCCAGAAAUCCCAAUCCCAAAUUCCCCAAAAUCCCUGGGAAUGCUGGGCCCAAAUCCCAGAAAUCCCAAUCCCAAAAUUCCCCAAAAUCCUACUCCCAAAUUCCCCAAAAUCCCAGAAAUCCCAAUCCUAAAUUCCCAGAAAUCCCUGGGAAUGCUGGGCCCAAUUCCCAGAAAUCCCAAUCCUAAAUUCCCCAAAAUCCCAGAAAUCCCAAAUUCCCCAA